AGUGAACGCUGGCGGUAGGCCUAACACAUGCAAGUCGAACGGCAGCACAGUAAGAGCUUGCUCUUACGGGUGGCGAGUGGCGGACGGGUGAGGAAUACAUCGGAAUCUACUUUUUCGUGGGGGAUAACGUAGGGAAACUUACGCUAAUACCGCAUACGACCUACCGGUGAAAGCAGUGGAUCUUCGGACCUUGCGCGAUUGGAUGAGCCGAUGUGGUAGUAGCUAGUUGGCGGGGUAAAUGCCCACGAGGGCGACGAUCCGUUGCUGGUCUGAGAGGAUGAUCGGCCACACUGGAACUGGGACACGGUCCAGACUCCUACGGUAGGCAGCAGUGGGGAAUAUUGGACAAUGGGCGCAAGCCUGAUCCAGCCAUACCGCGUGGGUGAAGAAGGCCUUCGGGUUGUAAAGCCCUUUUGUUGGGAAAGAAAAGCAGCAGGUUAAUACCCCGCUGUUCUGACGGUACCCAAAGAAGAAGCACCGGCUAACUUCGUG
rnacentral:rRNA from 1 species